UGGGGAAUAUUGCACAAUGGGCGCAAGCCUGAUGCAGCCAUGCCGCGUGCGUGAAGAAGGCCUUCGGGUUGUAAAGCACUUUCAGCGAGGAGGAAGGGUUCAGUGUUAAUAGCACUGUUCAUUGACGUUACUCGCAGAAGAAGCACCGGCUAACUCCGUGCCAGCAGCCGCGGUAAUACGGAGGGUGCAAGCGUUAAUCGGAAUUACUGGGCGUAAAGCGCACGCAGGCGGUUUGUUAAGUCAGAUGUGAAAUCCCCGCGCUUAACGUGGGAACUGCAUUUGAAGCUGGCAAGCUAGAGUCUUGUAGAGGGGGGUAGAAUUCC
rnacentral:rRNA from 1 species